AGGGAAUCUUCGGCAAUGGACGGAAGUCUGACCGAGCAACGCCGCGUGAGUGAAGAAGGUUUUCGGAUCGUAAAGCUCUGUUGUAAGAGAAGAACGAGUGUGAGAGUGGAAAGUUCACACUGUGACGGUAUCUUACCAGAAAGGGACGGCUAACUACGUGCCAGCAGCCGCGGUAAUACGUAGGUCCCGAGCGUUAUCCGGAUUUAUUGGGCGUAAAGCGAGCGCAGGCGGUUAGAUAAGUCUGAAGUUAAAGGCUGUGGCUUAACCAUAGUACGCUUUGGAAACUGUUUAACUUGAGUGCAGAAGGGGAGAGUGGAAUUCCAUGUGUAGCGGUGAAAUGCGUAGAUAUAUGGAGGAACACCGGUGGCGAAAGCGGCUCUCUGGUCUGUAACUGACGCUGAGGCUCGAAAGCGUGGGGAGCAAACAGGAUUAGAUACCUUGGUAGUCCACGCCGUAAACGAUGAGUGCUAGGUGUUGGGUCCUUUCCGGGACUCAGUGCCGUAGCUAACGCAUUAAGCACUCCGCCUGGGGAGUACGACCGCAAGGUUG
rnacentral:rRNA from 1 species